rnacentral:rRNA from 1 species
GCAGUCUGCAACCCGACUACAUGAAGCUGGAAUCGCUAGUAAUCGCGAAUCAGAAUGUCGCGGUGAAUACGUUCCCGGGUCUUGUACACACCGCCCGUCACACCAUGGGAGUCGGAAAUGCCCGAAGUCAGUGACCCAACCGUAAGGAGGGAGCUGCCGAAGGUGGAGCCGGUAACUGGGGUGAAGUCGUAACAAGGUAGC